UUUUUCAUGAGAGCAGAACAAGCCUCCAAACCAGUUGCAUUGCCACACAGGUUGGUGUUGUUGCGAAUUGCUUCAAAUGGUGCCUCGCGAAAGGCUUUGAUGUCAGAAAUGGGACCCUCUAGCUUGUUAUAGGAUACAUCCACUUUAGUGAGGCCUUGCAGUCUACUAAAACUGGCUGGAAUGAGACCAGACAGCAUAUUAUGGGAGAGGUUCAGAAACUCUAGCUGCUGCAGCUGUCCAAGCUCCGGUGCUAUACCUCCCAUGAGGGAAUUCCAACUGAGAUCAAGAUUUUGAAGAGACUGUAAAGACCCCAUCUCAGCAGGAAUAAUCCCUGUGAAUCUAUUCUUGCUCAUAUUCAAGAAUACCAGUUUUGAGCACUUGCCAAGCUGCGUAAGAAUUGAGGCACUAAAAUUGUUCGCGGCCAGGCCAAGCCUUUCCAGAUCAGAUAGCGAUGCCACAUCGAAAGGAAUAUCACCUGAAAGCUUGUUAUCGUUUAGUGCAAGUUCAAUCAACUUCAAAUUUCGCAAUUCUUUGGGAAUUCUCCCAACUAGUUGAUUUGACGACAGGUCAAGAGCUUGUAGAUGAGUUGCCUUUCCAAGAGCUGCGGGUAUCUCUCCAGAAAUCUUGUUUCCAGAAAUCUUGAAGGCUGCCAGAUUGUUAAACUGCUCCCAUUUCAAUGAAAGUUCACCAUGCAAUUCAUUAUCACUCAAACCCAUGUAGUACAGAUGGGGAUGUGUGCCAAAAGCUUCAGAUAUGUUUCCGCUAAGUUGGUUUCUCUCAAGUCUGAGUCUCAACAAGCUGCUGCAAUUUCUCAAGCUUUUUGGGAUAGGUCCAGUGAAAUAAUUUUCAGACGCAGAAAAAUAUGAAAGUAAUCCACCAAGGCACACAUCUCGUGGUAGAUUACCAGACAAUCUAUUAGAAUAUAUUUCUAACGAAUACAAAUGUGUAAGAUUGUUCAUUUCUGGAGGAAUCGGACCAAAAAGACUGUUAUCUUGGAAGUAAAGUUGAGAUAAGCUUCUUAAAUUGCCUAGAGAUGCAGGUAUUGUACCAGUUAAAUUAUUAAAUGACAAAUCUAAAAUAGUGAGAGAUCUCGUCAGGUUUUGGAUAAAAAUAAUGGGACCAAAAAAAUUGUUAUGUUGAAGGUCAAGUUGAUAUAAGCUUCUUAAAUUUUCUAAAGAUGCUGGUAUUGUACCAGUUAAUUUAUUGAAUGAUAAAUCUAAAUUGGUGAGAGAUCUCGUUAUGUUUUCAAUAAAAGUAAUGGAACCAGAAAGAUUAUUAUUACAAAGGUUAAGUUUAGAUAAGCUUUUUAAAUUUUGUAAAGAUGCUGGUAUUGUACCAGUUAGUUUAUUAAAUGACAAAACUAAAAUGGUGAGAGAUCUCGUCAGGUUUCCAAUAAAAGUAAUGGAACCAAAAAGAUUAUUAUUCCAAAGGUAAAGUUUAGAUAAGUUUUUUAAAUUUUCUAAAGAUGCUGGUAUUGUACCCGUUAGUUUAUUAGAUGACAAAGCUAAAAUUGUGAGAGAUACUAAAUUUCCAAUUUCUGGUGGAAUGUUGCCAGAAAUGCUAUUGAAAGCCAAGUUAAGGAUGGAGAGGUUAGAAAGGUUACCUAUAUGUGAAGGAACAUAACCAUAAAGGGAGUUGUUGGGAAGGUUAAGCACAGUCAAGUUAGGAAAGGAAGAGAAUCUGAGUCUAUUAAGCGUACCUCUCAAACUAGAAUCGGGCAGACUUAUGUUGAUGACACUACCAGACUGGUCGCAACUGAUUCCGAACCAGUUGCAAGGGCUGUCUCCAGCCCAUGAAGACAGGAGAGACUGGCUUUGGUUGUCAAGACUGACUUUCCAUUCUAGAAGAGCUUCCGCUUCCGUCCUUCCAUUUGCUACUUCAGCAGCUCCAGUACUAGCCGAGUAAGCAAAAGAAGCAAAGAAGGAAGCACAAGCAAGAAAGGAAAAAACCAAAAAAGGUGUGGAAAAGAGGGAGAUGUGGGAAGCCAUGGCCUUGGUGGUUUACUUUCUUAAUUAUGGAGGAUGUGUAAAAUGAUGAGCCCUGCAUAAGUAUAUAUAUGCAGGAAUUCAUUUGUCUUGGUCAUGAUCGAAGAUUUCUUAAUUGGACGUCUGCGUCUUCCAUUCUUGAUUGGAUGUUUCCCAUGAAAUUUCAAGUGUGGAAAAACAUUCCUUCUUCCUUUCUUUGGUCACUUAUCAAUCAAAUGAAUCCACUAAUUUUUUUUAUAGAAACAAUUAGCGCAAACAAUAAAGGUGGGUGGAAUGACAUUUACAUUGGCCACCAGUGAGCCGUAGAUAUUCAAGUCAAUCACAACUCAUCCCACUAGAAGACUUUGGGAUAGGGCCAAUAAUUUAAAACAAUAAAGGUGCAAUUACAAGAGAAAAAAUGCAGAAGUGCAAAACCAUGGCUAAUAAUUUAUUCUGUAUUAUUGACGUUUUCUAUUUUUAUAGUAAUAACCUUUUAAUAAAAACAAAACUUUCAUAAAUAAAAAUUAAACAUUUUAUAUAUGUCUCCCACUAGAUCAAAUGGAGGGAUAGAACUCAGACAAAUGCAUCCAAUAAACAUUUGGAAAGCUAUUUACACAUUUGGCCUCAGGUCCAAGCACAGUGACAUUAUAUAAUGCAUCCAUUAUAGAGGCUGAAUACAUUUUCUUUGAUAUUUUGCCAUUGUUGACGAGAGUUGACGUUUUGGUCUCCUUGGCUUGGAAUUCAAGCACAGUGACAUUAAUUUUCUUUGAUUUUUCAGAUUUGGAAUUUGCAUUCUUCCAUUACUGUGCUUUAUAUUUCUAAAUGGCAUACCAUAAAAGUAAGGUUGUGUAUAAGGAAUAUAUAAUAUAACCUUGAAUUGUAAAUUUAAAUCAUAAAAUUGUAAGGAAAAUAUUUUAAUUAAUUAUAUAUUAACAAUUUCAGUAAAGUAGUAAUUAAUAAUAUAACACAAUUAAAAUAAAAAUAAAAUAAACAAUAAAAAAGUUCAAACACUUUAUUUUUUUUUCACAUUGAUUCCUCUAUUUUUUGAACAAAUUGACUGACUUACUUCAUCAUUUACAAAAAAAAACGAGUCACUUCAAAUUUUGAUAGGUCAUUUAACAUUAAUUACUCUAAGAGUCAAGCAUGCCAAUUUACAACUUUUAUUCUAUAUAUUUGACAACUAAAACAAAGGAAUCUGCCUAUUGAUAUGUUAACAGUUUUUUUAUUUUACGAAAAUAAAAUCCACAGAUAACUCGUAUCGUUAAAAAAAUUAUAAUAAUUAUAGUCAAUGUUGCGGGGGGCGCGACGUCGUCUGGCGACGGCGGAGGCUCGUGCCAUGCCUCCUGAUGAGGGGUGUUGUGUGUUGGGAAGGGUUUUUGGAUUUAAUCAUAAAAUUAUGAUUAAUGUUUAGGAGUCGCCACCUAGUAUUAUGGUCACUAGGAACCUAUGCUCUGCGAGAGUCUGGGUAAGGGACUGGUUGUGCAAGGAGAAGACGCAUCACCCCCAGUGCACCUUACCUAAGGUAAGCUGCAUUGUUGUUUGAUUGUUUUUCUAAGUUGGGUUUCUAUUCGUUGGUCUUUUCUAAGGCUCAAGGCAGAUUUCUCUUCAUGAGAGAGUCUCUACCUUAUCGGGUUAAAUCCUAACCGUUCUAAAGUCUGAAUUUUAGCAUCACAUUUUUACACUUAUAUCUUUAAUACUUGAAGGUGUACUUUAUCAUGUAAUUUUACACCCCACAAAUAUUAAAGUCUACAACCUAAAAAAAAAGAUUGGAAAAAGAUUUUUGACAUGUUGGCCAAAUCCUAAUGGAUAAUCAUAAACUGGUUACGAUAUCCAUUUUUUGAUUUUUUUAAACAUGAAAAAGAUGCAAUUUUUGUUUUUUUUGUUUAUGAAAAAUAUGCUUGAAAUUUUUUAGAAUUUGGUCGUAUGCAACAAAAUAUAUAUUUUUUUAUCUUUUUAAAAAAAGAGCUUCUUUUUUUUUAUAAAUUUUUUUGAAGAAAACCGGGUAUUUUAAUACCGGAUUUGGAUUUUACAGUGUAAAUAUACAACCCGAUAUUAUGGAAAAUUGGUAGAAAAAUAUUUGAGAAAAUCACAACUUUUUUGAAAGUAUUUUUGAAAUUUUUUUUUUAUUUUUAUAUGUAUUAAUUAAUUAAAUAUUAUUUAAAUAGGUGGGCUGGGCCAAACACAGACCCAAAAACAGGUGGGCUGGCAUGGGCUCAAAAAGGUUGGGCCGAACUCGGCCCAACAUGUUGCUUUUUAUUUUGGGGACGGGCUGGACCCGGCCCAGCCAACUGGGCUGGGCUAGAACAGGUCCAGCCCAAAGCAACUUAGUCACUGGCAGCCCAGUGACUAAGUUGCACGAAACAGUGCAACGUGAAUUAUAAUUCACGUUGCACUGUUCAUGUGCAGCGAUAACAGACAGAGAAGGGAGGGAGAAGAAGAAAGGAGGAGGGAGGCUUACCUGGCGUUGAGGGAGCUGGCGUCCUGACCGGUGGUGCACGGUGUGGCUGCGAUGGUGAGGCUGGUGGCUGGCUCUGGUCACCGCUGGAAGAGGAAGAAAACAGAGGCCUGCGAAGGAGAAGGGAAGCUCACGGUUGGAGCUGUCGGAGUGGUUGAGGAGAGAGCUGCUACCCUAGCUGUCUUUGGGAAGGAAAAGAGCUUCUGGGCAAGGUGGUGGCCGCUGCUUCUGCCGCUGCUGCCGAGGUCACAGUGGCAGAGAAGGAAAUUUUUACAGAGGAGAGAGAGAGAGAGAAGUGGUGCAACCACCACGUGAGAUGGUUUGAUGGCUACUGGAGGUGGGGAUGAUGGAGAGGAGACGGGUGAUGAAGAUGGCGGUGGCUGAAAGCCACAGUGGAGAGAGAAGAGAAGAGGUCGGUUGCAGGAAAAAUGGGCAGUGAAGGCUGGUUUUCGGCCAACUUUGAGUUCGAUUUUCUUCUCCCUUAGAACGUGAAAUCUGCUCCUAUUUAUAGGGGUGGAAGAGGGUAAUCUUGUCUUCACAGGGGAAUAAAUUACAGCCCUUGAUUCGAUUGAGAAGGAUCCCAACCGUUGGCUCAAAGUCAAUUUGCAGCUGCAGGCUGCCUGAGGUGGCCUCUUUGGAGUGGUGCCACGUCCGUUUAUGUGCUAGUGAGCUGGUGAUGACCAUACCCAGACGUAGAGGGAUGUCUGGUGAUCAGUUUCGUGCACGGUUUGGUAAAUAUGGUGGACGUUAAGUGCAUUAAAUGCACCUGCAAAGGAGGUGACCGGACCAGAUUUUCCGGAAAAAUAAGGAAGAUAAUGAAUAGUGACUAGACAACGCGUCGUCUGGUCCCCUUUUUUUUUUAAGGAAAACGGUGCCGUUUUGGCCUGAAUUAGGGAUUUUAACAGAUUUUCAAUUUAGUUCUCCAGCUUUCAAUUUCUUGCAAUUGAACCCCUAAUUGUCCCUAAACUUUUGAUUUAAUGCAAUUAAGUCCCUGAUGAACUUCAAUUGGAACCCCAAAGUUACGCGCCUAUUGCAAUAUGGUCCUUGGUCUCGGAUCUUGUCAAUUUAACCCCUAAUUGACCAUUAAACUUUCAAUUUCUUCAAUUUGGUCCCCGGUUUUUGUCAAUUAGGCCCCUAUAAUCCGGCACCUUUUGCAAAUUGGUCCCUGGCUGCGAAUUUCUUCAAUUUAACCCCUAAUUGACCCUAAAACUUUAAUUUUCUUGCAAUUUGGCCCCUAAUUUCAAUCAAAUAACUUGGUAAAAAUUAAAUUUGGUCUCUUAAAAUUCCAAUCUUCUCAAUUAAGUCCAAAUUAGGCUCCUAAACUUAAUAUUUCACCAAUUAAGCCCUCAAAUUAAUUUGACCUACUUAAAGUAUAAUUAAGUCCUUGCACUUAAUUAAAUCCUUCAAUUGGACCUAAAUUAAUUCUUAAACAUAAUUAAAAUUUAAUUUGGCCCAUGAUUAAAUCAAAUUGGCCUAUUAAAAAUUUAAUUAUGUCAUUGGACUUAAUUUUUAUGCAAAUUCGUCCAAUAACCAUUUAAUUUGACCUUGAAUUUGCAUUUUUUUCUUCACUUUUGGGCAUAAUGAGGUACAAUUAGGCCUUGAAUUUCCUCCAAAAAUUGCAGCUUGAUUUCCCGGCCUACUUUCUCCACGUUGCCAGCUUUUAUUUUAUUUUUUUAUUUUUAUUUUGAAAUAAAUAAAUAGAUAAAUAAAAUAAAUAAAUAAAUAAUUAAUUUUUUGGGGAAUAACUCAAAAUUGGGUUAUGACAGUCAAAAUCAAACCCUUGAUUAUCAGAUUGUAUAAAUUUUGUAAGAUAUAAAUUUGGAACAAUGAAAAUACUAAGAUACAAAUUACCAGAUAACAUAAUUUUAUACGUCUUUCAAACUCGUAAAAUCGGUUCGAGUUUAUAAAUUUGAUCGAGUUUAAAUGAGUUUCAUAUAUUUUAAAUGAAUUUAAUCAAUUUUACUAAUGUUUAAAUUAUAGUUUAAUUUUACAUAUUAGAUAUAUAUUAAUUGUAUAAUUUUACGAGAGUCACAUCAUGAUUUUAACAACCAUUAAUUUUUUUGCUAACAAAAUUAAUGGUUGUUAAAAUCAUGAAAGGCAAAGAAACAGCUCUUAAAGAAAAAAAGCAAAUCAAGGACGUCAUAAAUGAUAAUAGGCAGAUGAAGUCAAGAUAAGGUUCUGUUGGCAAAAGAAAAGGCAAAGCAAAGCAGAACAAUCCAACAAACUUACAGUUACAGCUCAGCGAGUGAUUUGUGACUAUUAGUCUGGCUGCUAUUCUACAGUCAUGGGUGAAACAAUCAGGCAGAAAAUAGACUGCUCUGGCGACCUUUUCUUCUUCUUUUUAUUUUCUUCUUCUUUCUUUCUUCUUCUUCUUCUUUUUUUACUUUAGAGCAAUUUUAUUAAUUUCAGACUAAGGUUCUGUUGGCAAAAGAGAAGGCAAAGCAAAGCAGAACAAUCCAACAAUCUUCAUUCUUCUUCUUCUUCUUCUUCUUCUUCUUCUUCUUUUACAUUAGGGCAAUUUUCUUAGAAUCUCUGACAAUUAUGCUCAAAAUAAAAAGGAAAUAAAAAAAAGAAAAUGAAAUAGGAGAGACGUCAAUGUAUUGGCCAAUGACAUUCUGCUGAACAUCAUAUGAUAAUUAUUCUGCAAAAUUAAUAUGUUUCAUAUAUAUUCAGCUUUGCAUAAGGAUCAGUGAGUAAAGAUGCAAUACUUUUCAUCGAUUUUCCUUUGGGUGUAUAUUCAUCUCCAUCUUGUAUAGGAGAUCUGUUACUGAUAAAUUGGUGUGUAGGUAUUUUCAACACUCAACUUGUCAAGGACUUGUUGAAGAUUUUACUUGAGGUUUUUCUGUUAGUAUAUCUGCUAAACAGUCUUCAAAUAUUACUGAAGGGAGUGAAUCAUCACAUCUUUCAAUCCUGCCAUGGAAAAUGGCUUUGACAAUGGAAGCCAUUGAAUUAUGAAGCCAUUAUGUUAAAUAAUAUUCGUCACCAAUAUAUCUUAAUAGAUUUACUUGACAUCUACCUCCAGAGUCGUGUCACAAGACGUGAUGAAGAUAAAUUCAACAUAGCUAAAAAAGCUGUAUUUUUUUAGAAAUAAAAUAUAUUAUGAUACCUUUUUAUCCUUAAUUUAAAUCAUUGAAUUUUUUUAUACAUUUAUUCUUUUUUUUUGUUUUAUUGAAUAAAUAAUGUCAAAAUAUAUUAAUAAAAAAUAAGAAAUUAUAUUGUAGAUUUAUUUAUAAAUAAUUUUAUCUCCAUAUAACUAAAUAGAAAAAUCUAAAAUGCAAAAUUAUAUAUAUUCAUAUAUGCAUUUGUCUUUCAACUUCGUGAUUUACUAUUUAGCUAUCGUUAUUAGCUUUUUAUAAUAUUUUUCAGUAAGUUUAUUUGUUUUUCCUCGUAGUUUCCUGCACACUUAAUUUCAAAGACAAACCUCAAAUUUAUCAUUCUAGAAUACUCUCGAUUAUGCAUUUAAAAUACAUUUUGUAUAAAUUAUAUAAUUAAAGAAUUUUUAUUUUUCAAUUGUACCAUUCAAUUUAAUAUAUAAUUAACGAAAAAGUUAAGUAUUUGGGUGCUCCUCACAUAAUCUUCACCAGAGAAGGAAAUUAAAAGGGAAUUUUUCUUCAAUGUCUUAACAAGACAAGUCACAAGCUUCACAUGAGAUCAAAAUAUAAAAUUCCAAGUCUUUUAAAUAGUAUUCAUAAUUAUUCGUUCACAUGUCAUUCUGUCAUAAGUAUUAAGAGAUAAGACACAUAUCGAGACUAUUUGAUCUAGAAUAACCAAUAAUAAGGAAUUGUGCUAGGACUAAGAUGGACUUGAUCAGGACAGGAGAUACGGAAGACAAAAAGAAGAAGACAAAACUAGGGUUAAGUGAGAAAAUCUCUAUACCAUGAUAAAUUUAAAAAACCUCGAGUAAAAAAAGACAUGGUUAAGAACACAUAUAGGCUCCUUAUCUUUCAGAACUGAAAACAAGUUGGUCAACCUUUGCAUCGCAGCUUCCAACCUACCAUCAACACAAACUCAAGAAUCAAGACAUGUUGUAUCAUUGCAGAUUAUCCAUGAAAAGCAGCACAAGUUAAAUUCCACACAUUUUUAUAGCACUAUUAUUUUCAGGGUAGCUCUCAUGGCCAGGCAAAGGAAAGCCAACUGCUCCCCCUCCCUUGGUAGAUUUUGAUGUAGGAAUUGAAACUCUGGAUGUGUCAUUCAAAUAAAAAGCAGCCUGCUCUGGAAGAAGCUGAAAUUUCCAAAACAUUAGCUUUCUAAUAUUGCUACUCAAACAUUUCCUUAUCUGCUACAGUAUAUCACAGUUCAAAGUAAAAACCUGAGCCUCUAAGGCACCAAAUCCUCCUUCAGAAUCAAGAAUAUUGAUUAAUCCCUCCAAUCCUCCAAUGAUAGAUUUAAUAAGAGACUCAACAUAUAGGACUGCAUCUCGCCCAAUUUUCGUUACCUAUUUACAGAAAAGUACAAAGUAAAUUUCAUGACAUUUCCAUUACAUGAUAUGCAAGAUGGAAAGCACAGUUGGGGUGGAUCAACGCAAUGUGCAAACUGUUCAACCAUGCCCUUAACGAGUAUGGAUCAACGCAAUGUGCAGCAGAUUAAAUAAAAUAAAAUCCAAGUCUUCCCAUUUCAAUUUCUCUUAGCAAAAAAUCAUCAAUUAUAGCCCCUCUCCCCAACUGAAAUAGCAAGUUGAUGGAUCACCUCUUCUGGAACAAUUGGAGAAGCACACUCUGGAAAGCUACUAGCAACACCAAGCCAUGCACAGCAAUGCUGAGGACGUCCUUCUGGUCCAAACAUGGUGUUCCGAAAGACCUACCAUGGAAAAAGAUGCAUGGUUAGUUAUAACAAGGAGCCCGUUAAGGAAAAGAGUAACCCCAAGCAAAAUAAUUGUGGAAACGAAAAGCAACAGAGAAUGCUGCCUAGAAAGUCCAACAAUACCCAAUUGAGUAUUUUGAAGAGCCCAGCCUUCAUGACUUGAAAUUAUAAACUAAAUAAGCCAGGAACUCACUACUGUAAGGUGCUGAUGGUAAAAAUACAGCUUUUUUAGAGUUCCAUGCUUUGAUAAUUGCGACUCUAAUUCAUCAACGCAUCUGCAAUUGAAAGAGAUUCCUGUCUGUAGAUUUCAACACCAUUCAAUUUGAACAAAAUGAUUUGGAUUUUCCAUGUGAACAAGGUAACCUCCUGAAUACAGUACAGCAGACAAUGAAAUUGAGAUGCUGUAUGGAGAAAAGAGGGAACCUAUGCCCAUAGGCUUCAUAGCAACCUCAGAAUCAUGAUUGUCCAUACUAUUUUCCCAUUGUUUCCUGUGAAAAGAGGGAACCUAUGCCCAUAGGCUUCAUUUUUUACUCAGAUCAUGAAACAGUCAUCUAACAUUAACUAUUGGUCUAGCACAUGGUUCAAAGUCUCAAAGGAAAACCAGACAACAUUAAGUGGUAUAAUGUGCCUAACUCCCAUACCAUGGUAGAGCAUUUGCCAUUUAGCUCAAAGUUUAAGCUUCUCGGUACACGGCCACUUCAUAAAGGCACACCAAACACAAGCACAAUCAAAGUGGAUUUUCUAUGCUACCACAACAAACUUCACUCUCGCAAACUGGUGCCUCUGUGAGUCAUGGAGUACUCUGCCAGGCAAAACGUUGUGGUAUGAAUUUCUAGUAAGACUAAUUGUUGUUUAAUUUAAGUUUUUUGAAACAUUGCUCAACGGCACAUCAGUACUUUUCCAUAUUACAUUAAAUUUUUUCCAAGUAAUUUCAAUAAAAUAAAUAAGCUUUUCAUCUUGACUUUCUGGGCAGUGGUUUGAUUCUGAGUGAGAUCAAUUCACCAACAAAUAAUUCAGUCAGUUUUUAACUUUUAUACAGAUAUAAUGUUGAUAAUUAUAGUUUAUAUGGUGUUAGAUAAUUGUAUCACUCAAAUCAUAGUGUCAAUCUCAAACUAGAGGGGUUAGACUAUGUGGAUCGGCUUCGUGAAGUCAGUCCAGUAAUGGGCUAACUUUUCAGCAACCUACCAGUACCACUAGUUGUAAGGCGAGCAAGAGUCGGGGAAUUCCUGGACCAAUUGUAUGCAGCAUUUCCUUCUGACAGUAAGCCUUCCUUUCCAGUAGAGACAGUAGCUUUCUCCAAGUGUCUUAUGUUUAUAGAUGACAUAGCCUAUGUGACAAUCAUCAAUAUUGACAACCAAUCCUUGCGAAACUCCUGCUUAGAAAAGACAUACCAUGAUAUUGUUAUUGGUGCUCUUAUGAAGAAGCCAAUUCUGGAAAACAAUGGUAGAAAAAAAUGGCAUCAACAGAAAAAAUUGUUCAAGGAAUUCACAGAACCCAUGAUAAGAAGGAAACAUACUUACAAGCCAAGCAUAAAUGCAAGAGUAAUGAUUUGUAAAAUGAAUAUGUAACGAAUAGAAACAUAAAAUAAGCAGCCAUAAAGUUUACUAAAUUACCACUACUGCCAUUGUUUCCAUUCUUUAUACAUUUGUUAAAAGUUUUUCCUUAAACAUAGCAUUACUCUGAAUGCAAUACCUCUGACUUCACCAUGGUUUCUUUCAAGUCAGAGCUAAGAGGACCAACAGAGAUUAUCAUUCUGUUGGAUUACCUUCUUUCAACUGUCCCAAUCAUAUAUGUCUUUUAAAUACAAAUGAGAAAUCCUUGUGUGAUGGUGAAAUUUCUUGACAUUAUAGCGAUAAGCACUUGAAAAAUCACAAGUGCAUAAAAUCUUAUCAUACUCAGUGAUACUAAUUUAAUGCAUUUAAGAGAAAUUUCUUUUUCAUAGGAUUUGAGUUACAUAAUCAAUUUUAAGAGUAAUCAUCUAAGUUUGUGUUUGAUAUUAUGAUGAUAUUUUUUUAAAAAAUUAUUUAAAAAUACAUUACAAUAAUAUUUUUUCCUGAUUUUUUUAUUUUGUACACUAGCAUAUUAAAAUUAUCAAAAAACACUAAAAAAAACAUAAAUUUAAUAUUUUUUCAAAUGAAAUAUAUUUUUAAAAUAAACUAAAAAAACAAAAAUUACUAUAUUCCCGACACAAAAACAAGACUUGCUUACAUCUAAACUGUACAAAUUCUAUCGUGUUUUCAAUUAUAUUUGAUUGAUUGAAAUGUUAUCUCACAAUAUUUAUAAUUUUUUUAAGUUUGAAUCCAAAUUAAUUAAUAAAAUUCAACAAGUAAACAAGAUAAUCUCAUCUGAAUCUAUUUAUUUGUGUUGAUCUACAUGAUAUGUCUUUUCUCCAACCGCUAUAAUUCUUUUGGAAAAAGAAUUGGAGUAUGUCGACAUUAUAUGUAUGGUGGUUUAGGGCUAACACAUAGAAAUUGUUUUGUUAAUAUAUAUAAAGAGAAGAGCAACACGUGUGGGAAAUGGACAGAAAAUCAAAAAGAAACUACAAAGACAAGAAUGGUGCUUUAGACAAGGUUAACAUUGAGCUGAGAGGCCAACCGUGGAGGACGAAGACCUGUGAUGAUUGUAUUUGUCGUCCGAUUCUUCUGUUUCGUGCAUGGAAUUUGUACAUUCUUGCAUUAAUCUAUCUCUUAUGUAAUUAUAUUUGUUGGGUUUUGCUGGUUUUGAACACGUUCUGUACAUACUCAAGACGGAAAAAAAAAACAAACUAUUAGUGAACAGGAACACAUGAACUACUCUGUCUGGUUAACGUUUGGGUACAAAAUAAACAUAGUUAAUAAUGCUAUUUUUUAUAUAAAAAAUCCAUCUGUUUUUAGAUUUAAUUAUUAAUAGAAUGAAACUAAUUUCUUAAUAUAUUAUUAAUGAUAAACUACUUUCAAUUAAACACAUUUUUACGUAGUCACAUUAAUUUAAUUGUUUUUUAUUUUCUUAUAAAAUCUAGACUUGCUAGGUUAUGGGCGGAGGAGCAUGCUAUGGCAAUGUAUGAAAGAAGCAAAGGGUUCCGUUUUAGAGGUCUAGUUUUGAAAAUGGCUCAGCUCCUCAGCCUAAAAUUUCCUUAUAUGAAUACUAAAAAUUCAUGAAAUUUCAAAUUUAAUGUAAAUAGCUUUUAAUUGAAAUUUAUUUGAUAGGGGUUAUCAUUUUAGCUUGAAAAUUUAAAUUUUAAAGAACUUUUGUUGGGAGUUAUGAAAGUUAUAUUUUUUUAAUGAAUUCGUGAUUUGUUUUAAAUUAAAUCUAAAAUAGAUUUUUUUUUUUUGUGAAUACAUCUAUGGAUGGAUUUAUUAAAAUUAAAUCCAGAAAUUAGUUUAUCUUGGAUUUCAUAACAAGUUGGAAACUAUUAUAACAGGAAAGAAUAAGAAAAAAGAAUUCAACUAAAAACAUUAAUUAUAUAUGAAAAGAAGCUCGAGCUCAAGUUUUUUGGAUAUAUUAUUAUUUGAAAAUAUAAUUUGGAAUAAAUAUAAUAUUUAGGAGACACCGUGACAUGUCUCCUAAAUCCACAUGUCCGAACAGAGCCGGUCGUCCCGAUGCGCUCUAAAGCCCCUCUAGAUUCUCAAAGCCAACACCGUGGCCAAUCAACAAACGAGCAGAAAAAUGUCCUUCUCCUUCUCUAUCUCCAAACCUCUUGCCUUCCCUCAACAACCCCUAUUCUCUGUAAGUAUCUCGCUCUCACCAUCUAUCUCUAUGUCUGUAUUUGUGUCUGUGUUCGUGGACAUGUCGGUGUCUGAGUGUUUUGAUUUUGAUGCGUAAACAUGGAAUAUUGUUGCAGAGUCUUGGUGGGAACAAAAGGGCAAGUGGGAUAUGGAGAAACCAUCAAGUAGUGAAUAAAUUAGUGGCAAGAGCAGGUCCAAAGAAGAUAUCUUUUGGUAAAGAUUGUAGAGAAGCCUUGCAGGCAGGAAUUGAUAAGCUUGCUGAUGCUGUUUCUCUCACUUUAGGACCUAACGGUAAACUGAGUUCUUGCUUCUUUUCCAUGUUUUGUAUGGAUAUUUUUCUUUGUUUUUUAAAUUUUGGUCCUUCAAGCUUAAGUUUUACAAGACGGCACCUUUGUAAUUGUUGUUGUUCAAAUAAUAAAACCACUACUUAAAUAAUUCCUUGUGCAACCAUAAGAGGGUCUAAUUCUGAGAGAAAAAGAUCAUUUUUGUUUUAUUGUAUAUUAAAUUGUCGGUCUUUAUUGAUGGUGACGGUGUUAAGUCAGUAAGAUGUGAAACUAUGCAGGGCGUAAUGUUGUUCUUUCGGAUUCAAAGACGCUAAAAGUAGUAAAUGAUGGUGUUACAAUAGCUCGUGCUAUAGAGCUUCCGGAUUCAAUGGAGAAUAUUGGAGCAAUUUUAAUCCAAGAGGUCAUUCAUGGUUGCUACAUUAUCCUCUCCUUAAUAUUUUGUUGAUGUGUUAUUUGAUGUUGAUCGAUGAUAAAUGUGAUAUUGAAGUGACUUAUUGCAGGUUGCUAGUAAAAUGAAUGAUAUGGCUGGAGAUGGCACUACUACUGCUAUUAUUUUGGCUCGUGAAAUGAUCAAAACAGGGAUGGUGGCAGUCAGUUUUGGGGCUAACCCUGUUUUUGUAUAGAAAGGAAUGGAUAUGGCUGUCAAAGAGUUGGUCAAAGUGUUGAAGAAGAAUAGUUUUCCAGUAAAAGGGAAGGAUGAUAUAAAAGGUCUCUAUGUCAUCUUUAUUUAAACUUUGUUCAAAACCAUCAUUUUGACUUGGAAACUACAAUCUAGAGUUUCUUCUCCUUGCAGUGGUCGCUUCAAUUUCUGCUGGAAAUGAUGAAUUUGUCGGGAACCUAAUUGCUGAAACUAUAGAGAAGAUUGGCUCUGAUGGAGUAAUCUCUCUUGAAUCAUCUUCAACCUCUGAUACAUUUGUGAUAAUAGAAGAAGGAAUGAAGGUGACUAAGCUGAUUCUAGUUCUCAAUAUGGUUUGAAAAAUCGUGUCAGAUAAAUCACUGGAAAAUUGGCAUUACAUCAAAGUUUAUGUUAGAAGUUUAUGAUUUUAUGUUAUAUCAUUAGUCAUAGUCUGAAUGGUUAAACCAUUCAUUAUCUGUAAAUAUUUAGGUUGGUUGAGCUUCUGCUCUUUGUACUUUCCAGGUUAACUAUUUUGUUUUUUCAGUGACAGGGUAGCAAUACUUGUGUAAACACUCUGCCUCCUAUGUGUGGAUAAAUUUUUCAACUUUUUCUCUGUUUAUGAAGUAUGUAUAUUUUCAUUUCCAGUGAAGUUUGGUGUUCUUUCUCUGCAGUUUGACAAGGGUUAUAUGUCGCCCCAAUUCAUCACAAACCAGGAAAAAUCUUUGGUGGAGUUUGACAAGGCCAAAGUCCUAGUAACGGAUCAGAAGAUUGCAAAUGUCCAAGAAAUAGUUCCUGUGUUGGAGAAGACUACCCAACUCAGUGUCCCACUGUUAAUCAUUGCUGAGGAUAUCUCAAAGCCGGUUUUGGAAACACUAGUGGUGAACAAAAUGAAAGGUUUGCUCAAUGUUGCUGCUGUCAAAUGCCCUGGAUUUGGAGAUCGAAAGAAAGCAUUGUUGCAAGACAUUGCUCUUAUGACAGGUGAACUUGCAUCUUUCUUUCCAAAUUAAAUUGGUUAUUCUAAGUUGUGCUAUAUUGAAAUAUAUUGACAUUUCAGUUAAUGAAUUAUUUAUCUUCCUCGUGAGUUGGGUUCGUGUUAGAUAUGCGAGCCUUCCUAUGUGUGCACUGGCUGUUCUUAUAUGUUUGUGUAUGACCCUUGCAGGUGCAUAAACUUUUGAGUAUAUUAUGUUAAUUAAGAUAUCCUUUGAUAAUUACCUAGGUCUCAAUUAUAAGAAUCGUUACUCUCCUCAAUUAUAAGAACUAUUAAUCUCUUUCAUGCACUAGAAACAAUAAAUGUUUUACUUGGAUGCUUUGUUAAGAUUGUAAAAUCCUUUGAGGAUUACCGAGGCCUCAAUUAAAAAAAUUAUAACUACUUUUUAUGCACUACAAAUAAUAAAUUCUUUACUUGGAUGCUUGCACAAGAUUGUAUUCUGUUCUCAUAUGACUAUCAUAGGAAGGUCAUUGCAUCUGAUAUGCUGUGUAAUUCAUGCCAUACCAAAACCAUCAGGUGCUGAUUUUCUCUCUGGUGAUUUUGGGCUGACACUUGGAAGUGUAACCUCGGAUCAACUUGGCAUUGCACGAAAAGUUACCAUAACAAGUAAUUCAACAACCAUAGUUGCUGACUCAGCUACCAAAGCUGAAAUUCAGGCAAGAAUCCUUCAGAUAAAAAAGGACCUCGCUGAAACAGAUAAUGCUGCCCUUUCAAGAAAGCUCUCAGAGAGAAUUGCUAAAUUAUCUGGUGGUGUGGCUGUAAUCAAGGUUUGUGAUCAAGCUCUCAGAAAGAAUUGCUAAACUUGUAUACAAUAUAUUUCGGAAAAAUAGAUGGGCAUCUUGACAAAUCUGGCUAUAAGUGUGAAGAAUUACUACUGAUGACAUAGGCUCCUUGAGUGGCAUUAGCUCAGUAGCAGGGAUGAAUUUUCUGCCCUGUUUUCCUUAAGAAAUACAAAGACAAACGACAGGACUCUAAUAUUUUGUUUGGUGGUGUUUUAUUUUAAAGUUAUCUUUAGAUUUAACUUGUUUAGCAUGCAAAUUUAGGUAGGAGCACACACGGAGACAGAACUUGAAGAUAGGAAACUCAGAAUUGAAGAUGCAAAGAAUGCUACAUUUGCUGCCAUGGAUGAAGGGAUAGUACCUGGUGGUGGUGCAACAUAUGUACAUCUCUCGGAGCAGAUCUCCUCAAUAAAAAAUUCCAUGAAAGAUGAAAAUGAGAAGAUUGGUGCUGAUAUUGUUGCAAAGGUCGGUUCUCGGUUCCUUUCUUUUUUCAAAAGUUAUUUUCUUCACAAUUUCGCCUUACUAGGAUUUGAUCUAAGGUGAUUUUCUUUUCUUUUGUGAGAUGUGCCUUUUAUGCUUAUUUCUUUAUUUGGAUUGGUGAAUUUUGCGUCUCAAAUAGAAAUAAGCAGCGUUUGUGAAUGAGUUACUAUGCACAAGUGCUAUAGGGCUGGUGCUAAAGCAGAUUAUUGCACAAGACUUGUAAAACGGACCAAGGUUCCUUUCAUAAUUAAUGAUAAAGUUGGACAUCCUUGUGAAAUGGUUAUAAAUGCAGGGCGUAGCAUGGAGAAACCCUACAAGUAGUGGUUUCCAAAUGACUAUAAAGGGAAAUUUCUUCUCCCAUGUAGUAACACAUACCAAUGAUGCAUUACAGGCACUUCUUGCACCUGCAAAAACAAUUGCAACUAAUGCAGGGGUUGAUGGAGCAGUUGUGGUGGAGAAUAUUCGAUCUUGUGACUGGAGAACUGGUUACAAUGCAAUGACUGGUAGAUAUGAAGAUCUUCUCAAUGCAGGGGUGGUAGAUCCUUGUAGAGUUUCUAGGUGUGCACUUCAAAGUGCUGUCUCAAUUGCUGGGAUAAUUCUAACAACUCAAGCUGUGCUGGUUGAAAAAAUAAAGAAGCCCAAGCCCGCUGUCCCUUAUGUUCCUGGAAUUACACCUUGAGAAAAAUGGAAAAGAGCUGUUAAAAUUGUAGAAAGAAGCUGAAGAAAUUUUAUUGCUCUGAUGGCUCACAUCAACAGUUUUGAGUUGGCUGGUCAGAAUGAAACUUGAAGGUGAAGCAAGUCUCUUCAACAAGCCUUUACAAGUUCUGGGAUCACCAGAUGGAUCAUGCUUGAGACCACAAAAGCAUCAAAUGCCAUAAUGAAAGACUUUGCAUUUGUCUGGAAAUGCUUGGUUCUCCCUGCUGAUACAUGGACGACUAUUCCCCUAAAUUUUUGUGUUUGGUCUCUGUUAUAUUUGAUUUUCUGGCUGGUUUCCUGUCAAGAAACUCACUACCAUUCCAGUAACUCGGCAACUAGCCAUAUAGGAAGAGUAAUCCCCAUACCCAGACGCCCUCUUUAAAAUCUUCAACUGAAGUUAGUCACUGACACAAUUUAAGCAGAAAAUCACCUUUAUUUUAUGAAUUGUAUUUUUCCUUGACUACUAUAUGAUUCAUCUGUAAAUUUUUUUGAACGAGGUUCUGGUCUAUUGCCAUCAAAUUUAAUUGAUUUUGUUUGCUAUUUGAUGAUUGCCUUGGUGUUAUAAAACAUGUUCUGCUGNNNNNNNNNNNNNNNNNNNNNNNNNNNNNNNNNNNNNNNNNNNNNNNNNNNNNNNNNNNNNNNNNNNNNNNNNNNNNNNNNNNNNNNNNNNNNNNNNNNNNNNNNNNNNNNNNNNNNNNNNNNNNNNNNNNNNNNNNNNNNNNNNNNNNNNNNNNNNNNNNNNNNNNNNNNNNNNNNNNNNNNNNNNNNNNNNGUUGUAGUGCAGGAGUAAAUCUCAUGUAGAUUAUUAUCAAUGAUGUCAAGAGUAUAGAGAACAGAUUUCCCUUCUCAAUCCCUACUCUAAAUAUGAAAAUCAUUUUCUUCUUCUUGCUUACUUUCUCUCCUUUCUCGACAUCCAUGUCAUUACCAUCCCCCUUUCUCCUCAGUCGUACCCAAUGCACCUUCUAAUAUAAGCUCAUGAAUAUUACUAGUACUCAUGAACGCUCUUCCUUUUGACACACUACCCAUCUUUCUUACUUUCAUCUCUUUUCUCAUCUUCCUCUUCCUCUUCCUCUAAAUUUUUUUGAACGAGGUUCUGGUCUAUUGCCAUCAAAUUUAAUUGAUUUUGUUUGCUAUUUGAUGAUUGCCUUGGUGUUAUAAAACAUGUUCUGCUGUUUGAUGACAAGAGUAGAGGGAACAGAUUUCCCAGUCCACUUCCUGGGAAGAUUCUCCACAACGCCAUUUAUUGCUCUCAUCACAUUCUCCAAUAUCUCCUCUCUCGUCAUCCAAAUCACCCUGACCUUAACCACACCACCUGGAUUCAUAUCAAGUAUCAUUGCUUUUCAGACAUUCUGAAUUUUGAUACUUCCAAUUCCUAUGUUUCAAAUCAACUGCCAGUGUUCCUAUUCGUCUUGAAAAUUUCUUUCUACGGAAACAGCCUUUUUGUCCACAAAAGACGCAUCAUAAGUGUCUCAUAACUUCUGCUUUGCUUCAAGUAGUCCAUUACUAGACUUCAGUUUCUGAAUCCCAAGCACUUCACUGGGAUGUUUUCAGCUGUUAUAUUCAAUUAGGGUUUGAUAAAAUGAGUUUCACUCUACGAAUUUUAUUCAUAAUAUUUGUAUACUGAUUUCAAGUUGAUUAAUUCAUGAAUACAUCUGCCUUUAUAUAGCAGUAAGCAGUAGAAACUAUUCCUUGACUUCUACGGAAAGACCCCUGUAAUUGCGGUUUGUUACAAACAAAUUCCUAACUGAUAUAACCAUAUUCUGCAUGAGUAACAGUAAGGUGAAAUUAACAUAAUGUUAACACCCCCUCUCAAAUUGGUGCAUAGAUAUCAUUCAUGCCCAAUUUGUCAAGACUGGUAUGAAAAACUUGGCUGGAUACUGCCUUCAUCAGCACAUCUGCAAGCUGAUCUUGCGAUCGAAUAUGAGGAGCUUCGAUAAUUUUUGCUUCCAAUUUUUCCUUGAUAAAAUGUCUAUCAACUUCAACAUGCUUAGUUCUAUCAUGUUGGACAGGGUUAUGAGCAAUGUCGCAUGCUGCCUUGCUAUCACAAUACAAUCUCAUAGGACUUGUCUGCUCAACCUGUAAUUCCUGCAUCAAAUUUUUUAUCCAUAAUAAUUCACAUAUCGCUUUGGCCAUUCCCCUGUAUUCAGCUUCGGCUGAGGAUCUAGCUACUACUUCUUGUUUCUUACUUCGCCAGGUGACCAAGUUUCCACCCACAAAUGUGAAAUAUCCCGAUGUAGAUCUUCGAUCCUGUAUUGACCCUGCCCAAUCAGCAUCGGUAUAUCCAUCAAUCUUCAAGUUGUCCCCCUUUUUAAAUAGAAUUCCUUUACCUGGAGAUGAUUUCAAGUAGCGCAAGAUACGAGUGACAGCUUUCAUAUGUUCUUCACUAAGGGAGUGCAUAAACUGACUGAUUACACUUAAAGCAUAAGCUAAAUCAGGUCUGGUAUGUGCAAGAUACAUUAAUCUUCCCACUAGUCUCUGAUAACGUUCUUUAUUAGUGUGGAUUUGUUGUGGAUGUAUACUCAGUUUCAGGUUUUCUUCUAUAGGAGUGCUGACAGGACUACAAGCUGUCAUACCUGUUUCUUUUAACAAAUCUAGGGCAUACUUUCGUUGAGACAAAAAAAUUCCUUCUUUCGAUCUUGAUACUUCAAUACCAAGAAAGUAUUUUAAGUGACCUAGAGAUUUCAUUUCAAAUUCCUGGGCAAGACGAUUCUGUAAUGCUUUCUGCUCUCCAGGAUUAUUUCCGGUUACUAUCAUAUCAUCCACGUAUACGAUUAGAGCUGUGACUUCUCCCCCUUUUGUUUUCAGGAAUAACGUAUGGUCUGAGUUGCUUUGCUUGUAUCCAAUGGAUUUCAUGAAAUUAGUGAACCUCCCAAACCAUGCUCUUGGAGAUUGCUUUAACCCGUAUAGGGAUUUCUUUAACCUGCAUACCUUUGUGCUUCCUUUGAUUUCCAUAAUACAUCCAGGAGGUAAUUCCAUAUAUACUUCUUCUUGGAGAUCCCCAUGUAAAAAUGCGUUUUUUACGUCAAGUUGAUAUAGGGGCCAGUCAAGGUUCACGGCCAGGGAUAGUAGGAUACGAACAGUAUUUAUCUUGGCCACUGGUGCAAAUGUUUCCAUAUAAUCAAUCCCAUAAGUUUGAGUGUACCCUUUGGCGACAAGCCUUGCUUUAAACCUUUCAAAGGUGCCAUUCGCUUUGUGUUUAAUGGUAAACACCCACCGGCAUCCAACCGGUACCUUUCCUGCAGGAAGUUCAACCACUUCCCAUGUACAAUUUUUUUGAAGGGAUCUCAUUUCUUCAUUCAUGGCCUCUUUCCAUCUUGAAUCUGUUAUGGCUUCCUGCACACUGUUAGGAAUAGAUAUAGCAGAUAUUUGAUUCAUAAAAGUUUCAUUUUCCUUUGAUAAUCUAUGGUAGGACACAAAAUUACUCAUAGGAUAAUGAGGUUUAGAGGUGAGAAGUGGUUCAUACGCAAUUUUGGGUUUUCCUCUUGUGGUUCUGUGGGGUAGAAUCUUGAGUUGAGUUUCAGAACUUACUUGAGGUUCAGUUACAGAUUCAAACUCAGGACAUAAUUGAAGUGGGGAAGCUGGCAACUGAGGUACCUGAGUUUCUUGUUGCAGUACCUCUAUUUGGUUUUCUUCACUGCCAGUGGUUUGUUGUGGUUCUGCUUCUAUAUAUUCUUCACUAUUUCCAUCUUGCAUGGUAUGUGAAGAUGUAUCACUAGAAUGCUUAUCUCUUGUAACAUAUAGGUCAUCAUAACAUGUCUGCCAGUUACCCUUAUUGUGCUCCUGACUUGAGGAUUCAGGGGCAGAGUAAUACAUUAUAUUUUCAUGGAAUACAACAUCAAGCGUGACGUAGAGUUUCUGAGUUGGUGGAUGAUAGCAGCGAUAACCUUUCUGAUGCUGGGCAUAACCAACAAAUAUGCACUUGAGUGCUCGUGGUUCCAGCUUAUUCCUUAAUGGUUUGUGAAGGUGAACAAAAACUGUACAUCCAAAAACUCUUAGUUGCAAAUGUGACACAGCAGGAGAACAUAUUGUUUUAUGAAGAACACUCAAUGGAGUCUGAAAUCCUAAUGUGCUUGAGGGUAUCCGGUUAAUAAGAUAUGUUGCCGCUGUGAUAGCUUCACCCCAAUAUUUAGUUGACAUAUGAGCUUCAAAUAAAGAGGCUCGAACAACUUCAAGAAGCUGGCGGUUCUUACGUUCCGCAACCCCAUUUUGUUGAGGGGUGUAAGGGCAAGUGGUUUGGUGAACAAUUCCAUGAUUAAUCAGAUAUUGUUUCAACUCCUGAUUAAUGAAUUCUCCACCAUUGUCGCUACGGAGAACCUGUAUUGCAGAACUAUAUUGUGUGGCUACCAUGUUAUGAAAUUGUUUGAAUAAUGAACUUACUUCACUUUUGCAUUUCAUUAGGCAAAUCCAUGUCAUACGUGUGUGAUCAUCAAUAAAGGAAAUAAACCAUCGUUUACCAUUAAGAGAGCAGGUAUUUGCUGGACCCCAUACAUCUGAAUGUACAACCAUAAACGGUGCUGGGCUUUUAUUCAUGCUGUUUUGAAAUGGAACCCGAUGGCUUUUAGCCAAUUCACACACAUCACAUUUAAACUCUGUGUCAGGUAGCUGCACAAAGAGUUUCGGCAUUAAUUUCUUCAAAUAUCCAAAGGAUGAGUGACCUAAACGUUUAUGCCAUAACCAAAUUUCAGAGUUUGCAGCAGAUUCAGAGUUUGCAGUAGAUUUAUUCAUGGAGAAUGCUUGAGCUAACUGGUGACAACUUGCUGGUGUUAAAUCCAGAUAAUAGAGCUUUCCCCUUCUAGUACCAUAACCAAUUGUUUUCCGAGUUUGAAUAUCCUUGAAAACACAAAGGUUAGGCCAAAAAAUAACAAUGCAUUGCAGAGCAAGAGUUAUUUGAGCAACUGAAAGUAAAUUAUAAUUAAGAGUUGGAACAACUAAUACGGAGUCAAGACUUAUAUUUUCAGUAAGGAUGACAGAACCUUCUCCAUUAACAGACGAUGAGGUACCAUUUGCUGAGGAUAUAAUAUAUUGUUCUGAUGGUUUAAAAGAUUGAAGCCACAAUUUGUCAAAGGUCAUAUGGUCAGUAGCUCCGGAAUCAAUUAUCCAUUCAUUUUUACUGCUAAGAGUGGAGGUAUGAAAGACUUUACCAGAUUCUUCCUUUGUGAGUGUUGAAGGAAGUUGAUGUUCUGCCACAGAUUCUUCCUUAGUCGUGAGACUGGUCAUUGUUUUGAUUGAAGGAUGUUCUGCCACUGCAACUAAAGCAUGAGUAUUUGGUUUUGAGUUUCGUUUACGAGGUGCUUUAGCAGGAUCCCACCAUUCUGGAUACCCAAUUAGUUCAUAGCAUUUCAUCUUUGUAUGUCCAGUCUCACCACAGUGUGUGCAAACAUAUUCUGAUUUUGCCUUUCCAAUUUCAUAGCUACUGUUCUGGGUUUCUGAUGUCCGAAUUUUUUCAAUGGUAGGGCCAUUUGAUCGGUAUAUUCUUGGCUUACCUCGUCGUGCCAUCAUUGCAGAUGAUUCAGCAUGACCAGCUCCAGUUUCAUUGUUUAAAGUAGCUCUGCGAACAGCAUCACGGCGUACAUAAGCAUGAGCUUCUUCAAGAUCCAGUAUCGGAUCUUUUCUAAGAAUUUCCCCUUGGAUUUGUUCAAAUUCUGCAUCCAAUCCAUUUAAGAAAAUAUAUACCCGUAAUCUUUCAACAGAUCUUCUGUAAGUAAUAACAUCAUCCAGGUCUUUCAUUUCAGUUCUAUCGCGAUGAUCCAGUUCUUGGAAGAUUUCCAUAAGAUCACAAUAAUAUGUUGACAGUGGUCGUCCCAUUUGUUUUGUGGAAAAGGCUUUCUGGUUAAGUGAAAAAAGUUGUGAUUCGUCAGAUCCAUCGUAGAAGGCUUUAGACAAGGCAUUCCAAAUUUCUCGUGCAGUGCGUAGUCGGAUGUAUCUUUUCAUGAUGUCUGGUGACAUAGACGUUAGCAACCAUCCUUUAACUUUUUGAUUUUCUGCAUACCAUCUUGAAUAACCAGCAUCAGUAUCUUGUGGUGGUUGUGUUUUGCCCAUAAUAUAUUCAAGCUUUUCUCUUCCUGCAAUCUGCAUUUCCAUGAUCUGAGACCAUACAUCGUAAUUAGUUUCAGUGAGAAUAACAUUGGUUGUGAAUCCAGAGUUUUCAGUUUGUACAUGGAUAAUGGGUGUCGAUUCUGUUGUUUUAUCAUUCAUCAUGAAAAAUCAAGAAUGAUAGAAAAGAAAGUGAUCUCAGGAUGCAAGAAAAGGAAAUAUUCAAGAAUAGAUUUCAAGAUCAGAAUGCAGAAAAUAUUGAAGAACAGAUUGCAAGAUUUAGAGUGCAGAAGAACAGGUGAAUGAUUGUAUAGGCAAACGUUUAUUUUGUUUUCCUUUUUUUUUUCUUUAGAAGAGAGAAAGGUGAUAAGGAUACAAGAUUUGACAGAGAUAAUGCAGGAUUUACGAAUAGAAGAGAGAACAGGUGCUGAUUGGAUGGUGAAGGAAACUGAGAAAGAUACACAAACAGAGAAAGAGACGAUACAGGUACAGGAAAGCUUUAUCAAGAAGGAGAUUUCAGGGGAAAGAUAUAUCAGAAGUGCAUUUCCAUGCUCUGAUACCAUGAUAAAAUGAGUUUCACUCUACGAAUUUUAUUCAUAAUAUUUGUAUACUGAUUUCAAGUUAAUUAAUUCAUGAAUACAUCUGCCUUUAUAUAGCAGUAAGCAGUAGAAACUAUUCCUUGACUUCUACGGAAAGACCCCUGUAAUUGCGGUUUGUUACAAACAAAUUCCUAACUGAUAUAACCAUAUUCUGCAUGAGUAACAGUAAGGUGAAAUUAACAUAAUGUUAACAGGGUUCUGUUGGAGUUUGCUUGAGGGCUAAGGUAAGGUUUACGAAAACAUCUUUCUUUAGUUGUUGCAAAGGGUUUUGGAUGUUCUUUGUUUUGGAGUUUCUUGAUCCUAGAAGGAUACUAAUGGAUUUUGUCAGAGAAGCAGGGAUAGUCAACAAGGAUGUUCUAGUGUGUUGUAGAUUCUUAUCGAGGACUUGUAUCAUUUGAUGAUGUCAUGUGUGUUAAUUAUUGGAGACAAGCAAGCCCCACCAUGUGCAAGUGGGAUUACCUAAUCUCCCACUUAGCACAUGGUGGAGGACUCCCCCUCACUCCCAUUAAUUGUAUAUUAAUGUACCCCUCCUGUGAUGUGUUUGUGUGCGUAUGAAGAACACAGAGAGCAGCGUGAGAAACACAGAGAGAAGAGAGAACAGAGAAGAAUAGAGAGAGCUUGAGAGAGUAGAGUUGAGUUGAGAGAGUUUUAUCUCCUCCUCCUUUGUUUGUAUUGUUUGUAAGCUUCAUUAAUACAAACCAGUAGCUCCGUGGAGUAGGCAAGUUGCCGAACCACGUAAAUUGUGUGUGUUUGAGUUCUGGAAAUAGCCCAACAACUGGUAUCAGAGCUUGUUCUUGACAAAGAGGGUGUUUGAUCCAAACUCAAAAAUCAAAGUUCUCCAAACGUGUUUUUGAACAUACCAUCGUGUAGAGGACAACCGGCCGAAUCCACUGUUGAAACUCCGGCGAAUAACCGACGUCCUGCAUGCCAGCACGCGCCCACACGCUCCUACGUCCAGACUGCCCACGCGCACCAACGCGCCGUACGCGCGCCACGCUCCAUCUUCGCCCGGCUUCUGCAAAAACGGGUCGGGCUGACCCGCCACGUCAGCACAUCCGCACGGUCAGCGACCAUGUCACCUACCACGUCACCUGACACGUCACCUGACACGUCACCUGACACGUCAUCAGACUGAGUUUUGUUCCGAUGUGUCGCAGAAGCUGAUAUUCUGACACGUGGCUACAUCAUCACCGUUGAGGGGUUUUGAUCCAGUACGACGCAGGAUCCAAUCAGUUGACACGUGGUUAAAUCAAGACCACUCUUAAGUAUUGAUCCAGUGCGACUCAGGCCAUAAUCUGCUGACACGUGGCUUCAUCAGAACCGCUACUGAGGUUUUGAUCCGGUGCGACGCAGGCGGUACUCUGGCUGACACGCGGCUGCAUCUGCACCGUCCGUUAAUCCAAAACUUUGAUUGCUAAAAUCUGAGCCAUCCGAAGUCCGAUUGGGGUGAUCUCAGUGUCAUUACCAAGGUUUUCGGCUGUUCCGGACACAUCUGUAAGGUCAGAUUUGGGAAAUUCGAAUCGGAGAAGUAGUAAAAAUGGCAGAUGAAAUAAAAGCAGCUGGAAUUGAAAAAUUUGACGGGACAGAUUUUGGAUACUGGAAAAUGCAAAUUGAGGAUUAUCUAUAUGGGAAGAAACUUCAUCUUCCCUUGUUGGGGAGUAAACCAGAAAAUAUGCAAGAAGAAGAUUGGUUACUUCUUGAUAGACAAGUUCUGGGCAUUGUCCGGUUAUCCUUAUCAAGAAGAGUUGCUCACAAUGUUACGAAAGAAAGAUCCACUGCAAGAUUGAUGGAAGCCUUGUCUGGGAUGUAUGAGAAGCCAUCAACAAAUAAUAAAGUGCACCUGAUGAAAAAGUUGUUCAACUUGAAGAUGGUCGAAAACACUUCUGUGACACAACACCUCAACAACUUUAAUACCAUCACAAAUCAAUUAUCAUCUGUUGAGAUUGAGUUUGAUGAUGAGAUUCGUGCACUCAUCUUGCUAGCUUCACUUCCAAGCAGUUGGGAAGGCAUGAGGACAGCCGUGAGCAAUUCAGCUGGAAAAUCCAAACUGAAGUAUGAUGACAUUCGAGACUUGAUUUUGGCUGAAGAAGUGCGAAGGAAAGACUCGGGUGAAAGUUCAAGCUCAGGAUCAGCUCUCAACAUCAACACUCGAGGGAGGAGACAUGAUAGAGGCUUAUCCAGAGGCAGAUCAAAAUCAAGAUAUAGAAGUAAAAGCAAGUUUGGACCCAGAAAGCAGGUUGAAUGUUGGAAUUGUGGCAAACCCGGUCAUUUCAUGAGGAAUUGCACAAAACCGAAAAAACCUGAAGCUGACUCUGCAAACGCUACCACAGAUGAGGUACAUGAUGCUUUGAUUCUUGCUGUACAAAGUCCAAUUGAUGAUUGGAUUCUUGAUUCUGGUGCUUCAUUUCACUGUACACCUAACCAUGACAUGAUGCUAAACUAUGUUGCUGGAGAUUAUGGUGUGGUCUAUCUGGCCGAUGGACAACCAAUGGCUGUUGUGGGUGUAGGAGAUGUACAAAUCAAGACAAUGAAUGGAUCUACAUGGAACUUGCAGAAUGUCAGGCAUGUUCCUGGAUUAAUGAAGAAGUUGAUCUCUGUUGGACAACUUGACGAUAGUGGUCAUGAAAUACGUUUUGCUGGAGGUAUGUGGAAAGUAUCAAAGGGUGCAAUGGUUUUUAGCUCGUGGAAAGAAAACCGGCACCCUGUAUAUGACCACAAGAGUUGCAGACACCAUUGCCACUACAGAAGCAGAAAAUCAGGCACAACUAUGGCACUGUAGACUUGGCCAUAUGAGUCAAAAGGGGAUGAAGAUACUUCAGUCGAAGGGAAAGCUGGCAGAAUUAAAAAAUGUCGAUCUAGACAUUUGUGAAAGCUGUGUUCUUGGAAAACAGAAGAAGCUCAGUUUCUUGAAGGUUGGCAGGACCUUAAGACCAAGAAAGCUAGAGCUGGUACACACAGAUUUAUGGGGACCGUCUCCAGUAGCAUCUCUUGGAGGUUCUCGGUAUUACGUGACUUUCAUUGAUGAUUUCAGCAGGAAGGUAUGGGUUUACUUUCUGAAAAAUAAAUCUGAUGUGUUUGAAACAUUCAAGAAAUGGAAGGCUAUGGUUGAGACUGAAUCAGGUCUAAAGUUGAAAUGCUUAAGAUCUGAUAAUGGAGGAGAAUACAUUGAUGGAGGUUUCAAGGAGUAUUGUGCUGUCAAUGGUAUCAGAAUGGAAAAGACCGUUCCAGGCACACCGCAACAGAAUGGCGUUGCUGAACGGAUGAACAGGACCAUCAAUGAACGAGCUAGAAGCAUGAGGUUGCAUUCAGGGUUACCUCAAACAUUCUGGGCCGACGCAGUUCAUACCGCGGUUUACUUGAUCAACCGUGGACCAUCAGUUCCUUUGGAGUUCAGACUGCCCGAGGAAGUAUGGAGAGGAAAAGAGGUACAACUCUCUCAUUUAAAGGUCUUUGGGUGUGUUUCCUAUGUUCAUAUAGAUUCUGAUGCUCGCAACAAGUUGGAUGCCAAAUCCAAGAAAUGUUUCUUCAUCGGCUAUGGAGAUGAAGAAUUUGGAUUUCGGUUCUGGGAUGAUCAGAACAGAAAGAUUAUCAGAAGCAGGAACGUGAUCUUCAAUGAGAAAGUUUUGUACAAAGACAGAUCAAGUGCAGAAACAGAUAUGACUGAUUCAGAUACAAGUCCACAAAGAUCUGAAUUCAUAAGAUUAGAAGGCCUUCCCGAUGUUACUGAGCAGAACAACAAUCAAGAGCCUUUACAAGAAGACUCAAGCAUAUCUGUACCCGCUACUACACAAGAAGAAGCGGAGCAAAUUGAACCAGCUGUUCGCAGGUCUUCGAGGACGAUAAAGCCCCCGCAACGGUUCACACUUUUACUAAAUUACAUUUUGUUGACAGAUGGUGGUGAACCGCUAACUUAUGAAGAAUCCUUACAAGAUGGAAACUCAAGCAAGUGGGAGUUAGCCAUGAAGGAUGAGAUGAGUUCGUUGCUGAAGAACAAGACUUGGGAGCUAACCACACUGCCUGAAGGAAAGAAGGCUUUACAAAACAAGUGGGUUUACAGAGUGAAGACUGAGCAUGACGGAAGUAAACGGUUCAAGGCAAGACUUGUUGUCAAAGGGUUUCAACAAAAAAAAGGCAUUGACUACUCUGAGAUAUUUUCUCCAGUUGUGAAGCUCACAACAAUCAGAGUUGUUCUGGGGAUAGUAGCUGCAGAAAAUUUACAUCUUGAACAGUUAGAUGUAAAAACAGCAUUCCUUCAUGGUGACUUGGAGGAAGAUAUUUACAUGCAACAGCCAGAGGGGUUUGCAAUGCAAGGAAAGGAGAAUCAAGUCUGCAAGCUACAGAAAAGCCUAUACGGUUUGAAGCAAGCUCCAAGACAGUGGUACAAGAAGUUUGACAACUUCAUGUGCAGUUCCGGGUAUACAAGAUGCCAAGCUGAUCAUUGUUGCUAUGUCAAACAUUUUGACAACUCCUACAUCAUUCUACUAUUAUAUGUAGAUGAUAUGUUGAUUGCAGGAUCCAGCAUUGAGGAGAUUGAUAAGCUGAAACAGCAGUUGUCAAAACAGUUUGAAAUGAAGGAUCUGGGAGCUGCUAAACAAAUACUUGGCAUGAGAAUCUUCAGAGAUAAAGACAAAGGCGUACUAAAGCUUUCACAAACAGAGUAUGUCAAGAAGGUUCUCAGCAGGUUUAGUAUGGAUAAUACUAAACCAGUAAGUACACCACUGGGGAAUCAUUUCAAGCUCAGCAAAGAUCAGUCACCAAAAACUGAGCAAGAAUGUGGAUACAUGGAUAAGAUUCCAUACGCCUCAGCUAUCGGCUCUUUGAUGUAUGCUAUGGUCUGUACCAGACCAGACAUUGCCCAUGCAGUGGGAGUUGUAAGCCGAUAUAUGAGCAAUCCUGGAAAGCAGCAUUGGGAGGCGGUCAAAUGGAUCAUGAGGUACUUAAAAGGUUCCUCGGAAACUUGUCUCAGUUUCACAGCUGGUGGUUUGAAACUUGAAGGUUUUGUAGAUGCUGAUCUAGCAGGAGAUGUUGAUAGCAGAAAGAGCACUACAGGAUAUGUUUAUACUCUAGGAGGUACUGCUGUUUCCUGGAGUUCUACCUUGCAAAAGAUCGUUGCUCUUUCAACAACAGAAGCUGAAUAUGUUGCAGUCUCAGAAUCUGCAAAAGAGAUAGUAUGGUUGCAGAGUUUCCUGAAGGAAUUGGGCAAGUUGAAUGGAAAAGGUAAUUUGUAUAGCGACAGUCAGAGUGCAAUCUUCCUUGCCAAGAAUCCAGCAUUUCACUCCAGGACGAAGCAUAUUCAGAUCAAAUAUCACUUCAUCCGACAACUGCUGGAUGACGAGCAACUAAUGCUAGAAAAGGUCUGUGGAAGCAAGAAUCCAGCUGACAUGUUAACCAAAGGAGUUACACUUGAUAAACUGAAGUUGUGCAAAACUUCAGUUGGCCUUCAAGGAUAAAAGAUAAUUUCAUUGUUUGUCUCCAAGUGGGAGAUUGUUAAUUAUUGGAGACAAGCAAGCCCCACCAUGUGCAAGUGGGAUUACCUAAUCUCCCACUUAGCACAUGGUGGAGGACUCCCCCUCACUCCCAUUAAUUGUAUAUUAAUGUACCCCUCCUGUGAUGUGUUUGUGUGCGUAUGAAGAACACAGAGAGCAGCGUGAGAAACACAGAGAGAAGAGAGAACAGAGAAGAAUAGAGAGAGCUUGAGAGAGUAGAGUUGAGUUGAGAGAGUUUUAUCUCCUCCUCCUUUGUUUGUAUUGUUUGUAAGCUUCAUUAAUACAAACCAGUAGCUCCGUGGAGUAGGCAAGUUGCCGAACCACGUAAAUUGUGUGUGUUUGAGUUCUGGAAAUAGCCCAACAAUGUGAAUUGCUAGAAAUAUGUAAAGUGUAUGGCUAAUCCAAUAAUGAAAGUUUGGUAAGGAACUGAAGCAGGCUACCAUAAGGCAAGAUAUAUUAGAUUUUUUGAAGCCCUGAGGGAAAGAUACAGAGACGCUCUGUUUUUGUUUGAUAAACAUAGACUUUUUUUGGCUGUAGGUUUGGUCGUCUCAAUUCAGGAAAUCCCAUUUAUAAUUCAGCAUAAUCGCGUAAACCCUUGAAAACUGUUGAAAAUUACAAAAUGUUUUGAUGCCAAGGCUGUUGGCCUUCCAGGUACAAAAUUAACCUGAACCUUGAGAGAAAAUUAUGCCUACAAUUCUACAAGAGAGUUUUUGAACAGAAGCAGCAUUCCUUAUCACAGGGCUGGGAAGUACACCACGGAUAGGGGGGCGAUCCAUUCAAGAGUUAAGACCUUGUAGUUUUGAAUUUUUAAUACGAGGUUUUUUAGAUUCAAAUCCUGGAAAAGGUCGAGGGGGUAGAGAUUUGAGAUUAGAGGAUGGCUAUCUCCUAUUAUAUGGAUUAAAUCUCAUUGAAACUCUAGCAUAUUUAUUACACAAACCAAGUUAGCCUGAAAAAUAAUAAGAUAAAAGUGUGGAAAAUAUUUGUUUUUAUUAAAAUUAUGUGUGGGUACACCGUAAAUUCUUUACAAAAUAAUACUUGAAGACUUGAAUCUUCAUGAGUAAGAGAUUUGGUGCUUUGCAAGAACAUGUAGGUGAAGACCUGACAUGUUUUUGCAACGUGUGAUUUAAAGAUUUGUGUUAGGUAUUACUUAUUUGCAAAAUAAAUAUGGAAUUUCAACGUGACAAAGGACGUUAUUUGAUUUUCCAGCACGGGUUUGGUUUGAUUGUGGAAAUUUUGUUCAUCAAUAUUGUACGGUCUUUGUGUUGGCAUUUGGUUUGUUUAUUACUCUCCAAAAAAAAUAUGUAGUAGGAAGGCAAUUGAUACAAAUGAAGGCAAUAAAUUACAUGAUUCUUUGGACGGAAUAUCUAACACAGACAAUAACACCUCUUGAAGGGAGGGGGACGCUAUUGCUACCUGAGCCACGAGUUUAUUGGCGAUGACUUGAUUAUUGAAUAUUACAUUUUGUCAAACAAGUUGUUUUUCACAAGACGCCCAAGUACACUAUAAAAAUUCAGCCAAUAACAUUUUUGUGAACCAGUAUAUCUUCCAAUUCCAUCGUGGAGAAUAGCUUUGGCAAUAGAGGCCAACGAGUUGUAAGCUCUUUAGAAACUUGUCGCAUUGUUGGCCGAUAAUGGGGAUCGGUCUGCAAGCAAGCAAACGCCAGUUUUGCAACAUGUGCCACACCGUCCGCAAGUUCGUUUUCAGGAGGUGGGAGGCGCUGGUCUAAGACAUCCUUCAAGAUUGUAUUGUGACCGCUUGGUGAUGAUGAGGAGGUGGAAGCAGAUAACAUCAGAGAUGAGAUGAAAUCGCCAGGAUGCUUUCCCAUCAUUACUUCCAAUGUUACUACUCCAAAGCUAUACACAUCACAUUUUUCAUCCACUUUCAUUGUGUAUGCCAACUCUGCAAAAGAGGCUGGUCAUGCUAUAUUUUGCCAAAAUAAUUUACUGCACCUAUUUUGUUUUCAAGUGAUUUUGUAAACUAACCUACUGUAUACUGAAACUUAACUACAUACCUGGAGCUGUGUACCCAAAGGUGCCAGCAAAUGAUGUCCAAUUGGAUGAGUCAGGCAUUAAGAGCCUGGCUGUGCCGAAGUCAGAGACAUGAGCCUCAUAUUCUGAAUCCAAAAGAACAUUGUUGCUGGAAAUGUCUCUAUGAAUAAUCGGAGGAGAGCAGUCAUGGUGCAUGUAGGAUAAAGCAUUUGCUACGCCUUUGAUAAGAUUCAUCCUUUUAUCCCAAUCCAUCUUUACUGCUUGUUCCUCGUCGUUCAGUACCUUUCUUAAACUUCCCCUUUCCACAAAUUCAUAUACCAAAAAUGAGUGUUUGGCAUGCGAGCAGAAACCAUACAGCUUCACAAUAUUUCGAUGCCGUAUACCCAUUAAGACAUCAAUCUCGCUUCUAAAAGCUUUCAAGCUGCUCAUCUCAACUUCUGGUGUUUGGUGAAACUUCUUCACGGCAAGGACUUGUUCUGAUGGAAGUACAGCUUUGUAUACAGCUCCAUACCCUCCAGUACCAAUGCAAUAUUUGGAGUCGAAUUCCUCAGUAGCCUCAAUGAUGUCCUCGUAGCGCAGUUCCCCAUCAGGGCACCAUCUCGCGGGAACAUCUUUUUGUGGUGUUUCCACUAACCUUUUCUUUCUUCUGCUUUGGGAAAAGAUAAUAAAACCUACAAUCAGGCCCAACAAACUACCCAGCAGAGAAAAUACAGUAAAAAAGACAACUUUGGGGCCCUUCUUGUGCUCAGUUUUGUUUUUCAUGAGAGCUGAACAAGCCUCCAAACCAGUAGCAUUGCCACACAGGUUGGUGUUGUUGCUAAUUGCUUCAAAUGGUGCCUCGUGAAAGGCUUUGAUGUCAGGAAUGGGACCCUCUAACUUGUUAUAGGAUACAUCCACUUUAGUGAGGCCUUGCAGUCUACUAAAACUGGUUGGAAUGAGACCAGACAGCAUAUUAUG
rnacentral:lncRNA from 1 species